rnacentral:rRNA from 3 species
GGAGGGCGCUUACCACUUUGUGAUUCAUGACUGGGGUGAAGUCGUAACAAGGUAACCGUAGGGGAACCUGCGGUUGGAUCACCUCCUUACCUGAAAGAAGC